UAUGUUUUAGUAUAUGGGGUACAUUAAUUUUUGAUAUUAGGGGGGAAAGUUUAAUUCUUUCAAACAUAA
rnacentral:tRNA from 1 species